GAACUCCACAUCUAAUGAACAUAUUUAUUUUACAUAACAGAACAGCAACCAAUAAUGAUUGUGGGUCCAUAAGUCUGAUUCGUAAUUAACCCAAUAUUUUUUGUGCAGGGAGUGUUUACUUCAAAAACUUUUUGAAAUUAUUUAUGGGGGAAGCGUGGAACUUGGAGGUAUGAGAGGGGGAGAGAAAACAAAGCGCUUUUGGUGGCUUGGUGUGUGAGUGGGGUCAUGUCAGGGGAAAAGGAACAAACAAAUGGUGAGCAUAGAUUCUCCAUCACUCAAAAAAAGGAGAUGCCAUGUCCACCGAAGCAAAUGGGACAAGGAAAGGAGCAGUGGAGUCACUUUCGAGAUAGCUUUGAGCCUUAAAACGAGCUUUUCUUUAGGGAAGAUGGAAACAAAAAAAUAAUAUAUAUAUAUAUAUAAAAAUAAAUAGAGAGCUAACAAAACAAAAGGUGAUGUAUAGAUUUGUAUAUACUAAUGAUAGGUACACAAAGCUUGGAAGGUCCAAUUAAUUAGUACUUGUAGUUGUUAAUUAAAUAUAUUUUAUUUUUAUUGAAG